rnacentral:rRNA from 1 species
GACGAACGCUGGCGGCGUGCCUAAUACAUGCAAGUUGAGCGAUGAAGAUUGGUGCUUGCACCAAUUUGAAGAGCAGCGAACGGGUGAGUAACGCGUGGGGAAUCUGCCUUUGAGCGGGGGACAACAUUUGGAAACGAAUGCUAAUACCGCAUAAUAACUUUAAACAUAAGUUUUAAGUUUGAAAGAUGCAAUUGCAUCACUCAAAGAUGAUCCCGCGUUGUAUUAGCUAGUUGGUGAGGUAAAGGCUCACCAAGGCGAUGAUACAUAGCCGACCUGAGAGGGUGAUCGGCCACAUUGGGACUGAGACACGGCCCAAACUCCUACGGGAGGCAGCAGUAGGGAAUCUUCGGCAAUGGACGAAAGUCUGACCGAGCAACGCCGCGUGAGUGAAGAAGGUUUUCGGAUCGUAAAACUCUGUUGGUAGAGAAGAACGUUGGCGAGAGUGGAAAGCUCAUCAAGUGACGGUAACUACCCAGAAAGGGACGGCUAACUACGUG